UUUAACAUAAAAACAAAAAAUGUGGGGCGCUGACCCAGUAGGUCAGCUGCUUUUUAUGAUUGUUGCUUUUUACUUCUUUUUUUUUGUUUUGUUAGGUAUAUAUUAAGAAUAAAACGUAUUC